GCACUGAUGGCUCAGUGGUAGAAUUCUUUUCCUCCACGCGGGAGACCCAGGUUUGAUUCCUGGUCAAUGUA
rnacentral:tRNA from 1 species